GGGAAGUCCAAGGGAGCGGGGGCGGUGUUGCUGAGCUCUCAGGAAGGAGACGUGGCGGCUGUUGGGGCCCGGGUUCCCUGAGCGCUUGGUAGUCCCGCCGCCUCCUCCUCCUCCUCCUCCUCCUUCCCCCUCUCCUCUCCACUGUGGGCCGAGGGGGUUGUGGCGGCGGCUGGAGAGCUCGGCGGCGGAGGAUGGAGGAAGGAGGCGGCGGCGCGCGGAGUCUGGUCCCAGGCGGGCCGCUGUUACUGGUACUCUGCGGUCUCCUAGAGGCGUCCGGCGGCGGCCGAGCGCUCCCCCAGCUCAGCGAUGACAUCCCUUUCCGCGUCAACUGGCCCGGCACCGAGUUCUCUCUGCCUACAACUGGAGUUUUGUAUAAAGAAGAUAAUUAUGUCAUCAUGACAACUACACAUAAAGAAAAAUAUAAAUGCAUUCUUCCCCUUGUGACAAGUGGUGAUGAGGAAGAAGAAAAGGAUUAUAAAGGCCCAAAUCCAAGAGAGCUAUUGGAGCCACUAUUUAAACAGAGCAGUUGUUCCUACAGAAUUGAGUCUUAUUGGACUUACGAAGUAUGUCACGGAAAACACAUUCGGCAGUACCAUGAAGAGAAAGAAAGUGGUCAGAAAGUAAAUAUUCACGAGUACUACCUUGGGAAUAUGUUGGCUAAGAAUCUUCUAUCCGAAAAAGAACAAGAAGCGGAAGAAAAGGAAAAAUCAAAAGAGAUUCCCACUAAAAAUAUCGAAGGUCAGAUGACACCCUACUAUCCAGUGGGAAUGGGAAAUGGUACACCUUGUAGUUUGAAACAGAACCGGCCCAGAUCAAGUACUGUGAUGUACAUAUGUCAUCCUGAAUCUAAGCAUGAAAUUCUUUCAGUAGCUGAAGUUACAACUUGUGAAUAUGAAGUUGUCAUUUUGACACCACUCUUGUGCAGUCAUCCUAAAUAUAGAUUCAGAGCAUCUCCUGUGAAUGACAUAUUUUGCCAGUCACUACCAGGAUCACCAUUUAAACCCCUCACCCUGAGACAGUUGGAACAGCAGGAAGAAAUACUGAGGGUGCCUUUUAGGAGAAAUAAAGAGGAAGAUAUGCAAUCAACUAAGGAAGAGAGAUUUCCAGCAAUCCACAAACCCAUUGCUGUUGGUUCUCAGCCAAUGCUCACAGUUGGAACAACCCACAUAUCCAAACUGACAGAUGACCAACUCAUAAAAGAGUUCCUUAGUGGUUCCUACUGCUUUCACGGGGGUGUUGGUUGGUGGAAAUAUGAAUUCUGCUAUGGCAAACAUGUACAUCAAUACCAUGAGGACAAGGAUAGUGGGAAAACCUCUGUGGUUGUGGGGACAUGGAACCAAGAAGAACAUAUUGAAUGGGCUAAGAAGAAUACUGCUAGAGCCUAUCACCUUCAAGACGAUGGUACCCAGACAGUCAGGAUGGUGUCACAUUUUUAUGGGAAUGGAGAUAUUUGUGAUAUAACUGACAAACCAAGACAGGUGACUGUAAAACUAAAGUGUAAAGAAUCAGAUUCUCCUCAUGCUGUUACUGUAUAUAUGCUAGAGCCUCACUCCUGUCAGUAUAUCCUUGGGAUUUUUCCCCUGAUGUCUUGACUAUUCUUUUUUCUUACUGUCUUUUGAUGAGCAAAAGUUUAUUUGAUGAAGUUCAUUUUAUCAAUUUUUUUCCCAUUUUAUUGCUAAUGAUUUUUUUGUUUUAAGAAAUUUUGCCACCCCAAAGUCAUGAAGGUUGAAUCUCCAGUGAUCUGUAAAAUCUUAGAUACAGCAGACGAAAAUGGACUUCUUUCUCUCCCCAACUAAAGGGUAACGAAGUUCAGGGGAAAAAAAAGAUCAUUGGAAGUCAUGAUGAUUUGUCUGACCAUAUGUCCCAUUAUAGAGCUCUCAGUCAUUGGACUGCAUCUAAAGGAUUGUAUAAAAGGACUCUCAACCACUUUGUGAAUAUGUAUGUGUACAUAAGAGGUUAUUGAUAAACUUCUAAGGCAGA